rnacentral:rRNA from 1 species
UACAGAGGGUGCGAGCGUUAAUCGGAAUUACUGGGCGUAAAGCGUGCGCAGACGGUCAUGUAAGUCGGGUGUGAAAGCCCCGGGCUCAACCUGGGAAUUGCAUUCGAGACUGUGUGGCUAGGGUGCGGAAGAGGGAAGCGGAAUUUCCGGUGUAGCGGUGAAAUGCGUAGAUAUCAAGAGGAACACCAGUGGCGAAGGCGAGUCCCUGGACAAUACCUGACACUGAGGCACGAAAGCCAAGGGAGCAAACAGG